CAGUAGCCGCGGUAAUACGUAGGGUGCAAGCGUUAAUCGGAAUUACUGGGCGUAAAGCGUGCGCAGGCGGUUAGAUAAGCCAGAUGUGAAAUCCCCGAGCUCAACUUGGGAACUGCGUUUGGAACUGUUUAACUAGAGUGCGUCAGAGGGGGGUGGAAUUCCGCGUGUAGCAGUGAAAUGCGUAGAGAUGCGGAGGAACACCGAUGGCGAAGGCAGCCCCCUGGGAUGACACUGACGCUCAUGCACGAAAGCGUGGGGAGCAAACAGGAUUAGAUACCCCCGUAGUCCCUGUCUCUUAUAC
rnacentral:rRNA from 1 species